AUCCUCUUACCUCCAUCGUGUGUAAGACCAGACAUAUACUCUUUACCGUUUUAUUAGAUUGAAAAAUUUCGUGAUUUCGUCAUCGUAUAUUAAAACUAUUAGUAUGUAAGGAAUGCUACCAGUUAGCCGUUUUUUCCACUAGGCACUAGGCAGCCAUAUCUUUAUUUUAUGUUUCAUGACUUGCGUCAAGUGGUCCAGAUUCUCCUGACAAUGAUUGUCCUUCUGACUUGCGCUUUAGUCCCUUGGGUUAUUGGAAAGUAAACGCCCAUCGAUUACCGUUGUUGGCUUUGAUAGCAAGGGAGCUCUUCGGGGUGCCCGCUUCGGGAGGAGAGAUCGAACGGGUCUUUAGCACCGCCACGGACAUUGCAUCGGCUAAAAGAAAUCGCAUUAAGCCUCCUCUCUUCGCGAAAAUGCUUUUCAUAAAGCGAAAUAUGAAACUUAUGAGUCCUGUGACUCCUGUCAAACACAAAUGAUGAAUUGUGGCUAACUCUUUUUCUUUUGCUCUUUUCACCAUUGUCAUUCAGAAUACUCAUAAAUAAAAAGAUUUAAUCCAA